UACGUAGGGGGCUAGCGUUGCUCGGAAUCACUGGGCGUAAAGCGCACGUAGGCGGAUUGUUAAGUCAGGGGUGAAAUCCUGGAGCUCAACUCCAGAACUGCCUUUGAUACUGGCGGACUCGAGUCCGGGAGAGGUGAGUGGAACUGCGAGUGUAGAGGUGAAAUUCGUAGAUAUUCGCAAGAACACCAGUGGCGAAGGCGGCUCACUGGCCCGGUACUGACGCUGAGGUGCGAAAGCGUGGGGAGCAAACAGG
rnacentral:rRNA from 1 species